UUCAGUUCACCUCCAAAGACCCAAUGAUCACACCUGCACCCUGUGAUAGAAGUCAAGCAGGUUCAUCUAACAUGGACUGCAGGGGAGAUGGACCUCAUUUUGAAAGAUAUAUUGUUCGUGUUUUCCUCUCUCAAAGACUUGGGACACCAAUUACAGAUACCGGUGAACCGUCCCGACAAAAUAGGCGACGUGGGCGAAAUCGACACCGCCGACGUCGGCAGCGUCAGAGACGCCAAAGGCAACAACAAAAUCAACAGCAGCAACAGGAUCAGUAAAGGCCACAACAACCCCCACCCCAAUUAUAACCUGCACACUAUCAAUUAACAUCAAAGUCAUUGUAAUGAAAAAGACGCUAAUGCUAGCGGUGGGGUGAGGUAAAACCAGAGGUGGCAAUCAAAUGUAUAAUUAAUUUUCUCAAACUGGAGAAAUUGAUACCAAUAUCUAAAAUGUUUAGUCAAAGGAGAAUCAGCAUGGAAAGUGUUAGUUGGGGUUGGCUUAACUUAACCUCUCAUUAACUUUUGAUCUUCAAAGGCAUACACUGUGACAAAGACCCUAUCAUUCCGUACUGUACAUAGGAUGAGCUAAAAAAAACUAGAAUUAGUUUAAACACAAGCAAAAACACCAAAAUGGGCCACUAGUCUGAACAUUUUUUCUGUCGUUGUAAUGUUUUCUAAGUGAAAAGAACCCACUGUUUGUGUUAACCAAGGAUCAUACCUAUGUGAAGUUUAGGACUAUUGACUUAGGGUUUAUAUAUAAAUCUAUCUCUGUCAUUACUAUGUAUGUGACUUUUAAAACAUGUUAACGAUAA